rnacentral:rRNA from 1 species
GUUCUCCUACGGGACGCAGCAGUGAGGAAUAUUGGUCAAUGGGAGAGAUCCUGAACCAGCCAAGCCGCGUGAGGGAAGACGGCCCUAUGGGUUGUAAACCUCUUUUGCCGGAGAACAAAACCCGGGACGAGUCCCGGACUGCGUGUAUCCGAAGAAAAAGCAUCGGCUAACUCCGUGCCAGCAGCCGCGGUAAUACGGAGGAUGCGAGCGUUAUCCGGAUUUAUUGGGUUUAAAGGAUGCGUAGGCG